AUUUUAUGACAAUUAUAAGAAUUUUUUAGUUGAUUUUAAAUGCUUGUAAUACAAUUGUGCAUUGCUUUGGUUUUAAAAGAUUCACUCCGGAAUUACAAAUGUAGUAAUAUUUCAGAAAAUAAAACAGACAAAUAAAAUAAUCGGGUACCGGAAGGGUAAAGCAACAGUUCUAUCUCCACAUGGGAAUCCCGUCGUGUUACUCUUAAUAUACAUUGAUCAGUCGGUUCUAUUGAUUAUGUGUUUUACAAUAGGGACUUGAUAAUGUCUCUUGUCCCUAAGACCUCACCAAAUACAAAAACAUGUGGUACAUGCUAAUCCUCCAACACGAAGACUAAACCGAAUUUAAAAGUUUAAAUAAAAAAUAAUGCUCACCAGAAUUCUAUUUUUAUAAUAGCUUCUUAUGCUGAGAAAAAAGAACUAUUUUUCAAGAUCUCUCUAGUUCUACAUAAUUUAUAAGAAUUACAAAAAUCAUAUAUCAAAACCAUGUAUCGAACCCUUCUCCCCCUUCCAUUUUCCUCAUUUAUAUAAAGUCAAAUACAAUUGUUUGUACUUGAAGCGUGCCAAGCAGUAUGGGUGUAAACAGACC
rnacentral:lncRNA from 1 species